GUUUUUCCACCUAAUGUCUUUGUAGCAAACUUCAAAAAGUUUAGACUUCUAGAACUGUGGAGAUUUCAGAAUUGCAGAUAAGGGAUUGAGGUGAGAGUCCUGAAAAUAAGAAUAUCUACUGAUGCCUGAAAGUGACCUGAGAAGAUUAAGAAUCUGGCCAAAUAAUCUCCAGGGACAGGAAAUCUAAUAGUGCAUUGGAAAGAAAGUGGUGCAAAACCUUUUUUGCUCAAACAUCACUGGAUUCCACUUGUCAAGAAAUCAGUUACUUAUAUAAAUGGGUACGUAAGUCAUCUGUGCGUUUCUUACACAGCGGAUGAUUAACAAAUGUUAACUUCUCUUUCCUUUUCCAUCAGGUCCUCCACAUCUUCAUAAAUACAGGCAGAUUUGCUGUUUCUGGGCUCAAGACUACGGAAAGAAACUCAAGAAAAAAAAAAGAGAGAAGAGAAACCAAGUUGUAGAGGAAGGGAAGCUGAAGAACUACUCCCUCCUUUCCUUGCCAGCAAUGGGAAAAUGAAAGACAAAUGGGGUAGAGAGCAUGAGAAGUAGAGAUCUCUCCUUCACCCUCUUUGCACUCUCCAGGAACCUCAGGCCAUAUUUCCAAUUCCCAACUUCCCUCUCUGGAUCGGAGCAGUGGAGUCUAUGCUCAGCCACUGGGAGAUGGGGGAUUCCCACUCAUCUGCUAAGAAGGGGGCUAUUGGAAGGAGGAAGGGGAAAGUCCAGGCCCCAGUUGCCUGGAGCCAUUAUUGCGCCUGGUACACUGUGGGUGAAAUCAUCUUUGAUGGGUCCUUUUGGACCCAUUGCACUUAUCACAAAAUUGCUAAUGAACAGCUCAUUUUUAAGUUGUGUGUAUGGUGGUGAUGGUGGGGUGCCUCUGUGAAAAGCGGGACUGGCUUUAUUUAUAAAUUCUGUGUCCUGGGCUCUCCAAGCACUAACAAUGGGCUAAGAGACUAGAACUUAAGGCAAGCUCAACCUCGUUCAACAAGUCUGAUGGUAUCGGUGCUUGUAUAAGGAUAUUGAGUGCCAGGAAGAGAAGUUGAGAGAGGAAAUAUAAUGCUAAGUAAGAUUGGAUCUCUGCUUUCCAGAAGUUUAUCAUUGAGUUUAGGGGAAAAAUGAAAUUAAUGACAUAAGGAGUAAAUACACUAAACAGGAGCUCAGAGUCUGGAAGAAAUCAUUUUCUCAGAAAGGUAAGCAAAGUCUUUGUGGAAAUUGGUUGAGCCUAAAGCCACUGACUUAACUGCUAAGAAUCACUUCUCCUAGUAGUAGUUUCUGUUGUGUGUUUUCUUGGCGGGGGGUUGGGAGGCAGGGGUUGUUUUUGUUUUGUAACCUUAUUUGUGUCUUUUCUUAUUUGUAUACUUUAUACUGUCAGGCAUUUUACUGCGGUGCGUUGUGCUUAUGCCCUACUUAGAGUUAAUUACUAUUAGCAUGAGGACCCAAUAUAUGCCUGGCAAAAUGGUUUAUGAAUAAAACUCAUCUAAUCCUCACAACAAUCUUACUAAGCAGAUCCUGCUACUACCCCCACAAAACAGCUGAGGAAACUGAGUCACAGAAAUGUUAACUCAUUUGCUCAAGUUUACCUAGCUGGGCAAUGGCAUAUUUGGGAGUUGAGCCCAGAUAGUCUAGCCUUAGAUGCCUAGGCCCUUAACCAUAAUGCUAUUCUUCCUCUCUACAUAACCUGAAACACUCUCCAAAAAGUAUUUUUACAUCCCAUACUCUCUCCCAUUUUAAUUUUAGCUUCCCCUUAGUUCUCUACGUUAUAAACAUGAUAAAAUUCAGAUUGGUGAAAAUAUGAAGUCCAUAUUCUAAAGAAACUAUUUAUAAUGUUUAACUUUCCUUCAUUCACAUGAGGAUAUGUGAGGCACAAUAGAUAUUAUCUUACACUGCACCUAAGAUUUCCUUCUACUAAAAAUUUCAGGGAAAAAAAUAACUCUUUAGGAAAUACCCAUUCUAUCUAUCUAAUUGUAAUUUUAUCAAAAGGCCAUUUCUUCAUGUUUUCAAUGACCAAUUAAAUAGUAAUUAUGAACUACACACAUUUUUUCCCUGAAACUUUCCAAUUUCAUUCCAUGACCUUAUUUACAAAAUAAGGGUCUGUCUUAAUAGGUGCUAUUUCCCUAAUGAUCUAAGAUAAGAAUUCAACAUGCAUUAUGAACACAGACCCAGCCCGGCAGGCAUUACUUACUCUGCACCCAACCUGUCCUUCUUCCAAGGGCUGACUGACUUGUACUUAGAGCAGCUCAGAGGAGAAACACCUCAGUGGAAUGUUCUGCAGCGGUGCCACAGACCAAGAUCACAUUCUGCAAAACAGUCACUCUCUUCCAAUGAGUAUGAAAUUCCUUUAAAAGGAGGGGCUGAAAUAAUGAAAGACCUCUAAACACAGGAAUCUGAAGCACUUCUGUGCAGAUAUUAAAUUUAGCUUCUACAGAGAACUUUUGCAUUCACUCAGUAUUUUCCAAACCAUGUGUCAUGACCCAUUAGCAGGUCAAGAUAUCAAUUUAGUGAGACAGCACCUUCAUUUAAAAAGAUGAAAUAGAAUAAAGUAGAAAACUAGUAAAUGUGCAUUUCAGGUACUAAGGGUAAGGCUGCUUCAUGAAUAGAUUAUUUCAGUUCUAUGUAUAAAUGAUGGAAGGCCCAAAAAGUGAGAAACCACUGACUUUCCUUUGCUUCAUUUACAGUGGUUCAAAAAAGUAGUCAGGACUCAGAGGUUAAAUGGCUCGCUUAUGCCUACAGACCAGUUUAGGGACAUCCAUCUGGUUCUUUGGAUGCUCAGCUGUUUUUCUACUGCCCCAUUGAUUCAGGACAAGAAAAUGAGGCUGAACAAAAGCAGCAAUGACACCCUAUUCACAAAGUGGUGGAUGAUGCUUCUGCAUUGACAGGAAGAGUGGCUUUAGUGAGCAGGACAAAGAAAGAUUCAGAAGUUCUCCACCCUUUCAAAUUUCUUGAAAGGAGAUUGAAUAAAAUUAUGCAGGAACUAUUUUUUAAUAUUUCACAAAUACCAUUCGAAAAUGGUAGGUUUAUCCAGAAUAAGGUUCUGUCCUCUAACUAAAAGGUCAAAUCUCUUUGAUUUGGGCUAGAAGUACAUCAACUCCAUGUGAAAACACGGCUUGUAAUGUUCUGUUCAGAAGUCCUUUGAUGUCUUUGGUUAAUCAUGGUGUUAUGGGAAGUGCCAAUAACCUGACUUUUAAUCCUGGCACUGCCCAUUAUCAGCCGAGUAAGCUUGGACAAACUAUUUAAACUCCCUGGGCCUCAGUAUUUUUCUGCUGUGAAAUGGGAAUUACAUAUACUUUUCAAGGUUGUUGCAAAUUGUUAUUUAAUAAUAAGAUAAUAUAUGCAAAGUACCUAGCAGAGAACCUGGUACAUCGGAGUUCUUUGUGGAUGGUGAUAUCUGAAAAAUGCAAAAACAGCUCACAGUUUAAUACAUGCAAUUUGUUCAGUUAAUGGAAUCUUUCAAAAUAUAGGCUUGGGUGGAAAGAUAAUCAAAGAAGCACCUUUUGGGACAAUGUUGAAAACUGUUACAUUAGCAAUCACUCAGUCCCUAAAUGAUGCCUGUUUGCCCAGAGAUUGAGGUGCUAUCCCUUGCGUGGGGAGAUGGCUUUGGCCAAAAGGCUUUGAAUGCUCAAUAAUUAUUCACUCUACCCAUUGGUAGUCCUAUGGCCAGGAGUUUAGAGAAUAUUCAUCAAUUCCUCAGCAGUAUCUCCCCAUAUCCAUGCUAUUGUUUGGAAUUCCCUAUGAAAGUUUAGGAGAAAGCCAAUCUGGCACAAGCAAAUGUUUUCAAAGUGUCUGAUAAGAAGAGAACAUGUGAGGGAAGUAAAGUGAAGGGAAACAGCCCAAACUGACAAAUAUGGCUGGCCUGCCUGGUCUAAGCUGAUUGAUUGAUUUUUUAAUUAAUUUAUGAUGGCACAACAAUAAUUACAAGCUACUGUUUGUCAGCCAAAUCACUUGCGAUGAAGUCAAAGGUUUACAUCUGUGCGAAGGUCCCAAGGAUCAAUGCAUCAAAUUAGCUCUGUUGGCUUUUUUCCCACUAAAAACUAACAUGUGUCAUCAAUAUUCCAGCGUUUAUGUGUGUAAACUAAUUGAUUGAACAUUCAUGCUACGUAAACAUGUGGUUUGUAUUAUGUGGGGUACCAUUUAUAAACAUCUUUGGUGCCAAUAAAAUGAAUAGCCUCACAUACGAUAAUUAACAUCUUAUUGGAAAAAUAAAAUAACAAUUUAGUGUUAUUUCUUCUAUGUAUGGAUAAAAAAAAGCAUUGUUGUCUCUUUUAAAGUCUUUGUUAUUAUUGUAUCACAUAGGAUUCCACGAUUCCACCUAACAGGAAACCAGAGGAAAUACUAGAGAAGGUGAACGAAGUUUGCGUGAGGUCAUUUAGGAC
rnacentral:lncRNA from 10 species